AAGGUAAACCUGAUAAAAAUAUAAAUUAAGUGAACUGAAACAUCUAAGUAACUUAAAGAAUAUAAAUCAACAGAGAUAUUAUGAGUAUUGGUGAGAGAAAAUAAUAUAGUCAAAUUUAUAUAUUUAUAAUAUAUAUAAAUAAAUAAGUAUUAUGUAAAUAAAUUAUGUAAGAAUAUAGGACAAACUAGUUCUAAGACUAAAUACUAUUAAUAAACAAAAUAAGUACCGUAAGGGAAAAUAAGUAAUUGGUUAUUUUAUAAGCAGUUAUAAAUAUUUUAUAUAAAUAUUAAUAACGUACCUUUUGUAUAAUGGGUCAGCAAGUAAUUAUUAUUAGCAAAAUUAUUUUAAUAUAAUUAUAAAUAAUUUGAAUAUUAAACAUUGUAUAAUAUAAUAAUAUAUAUUUAAUAUAUAUUAUAGUUAGUUAAUGAUAAUUGACCCGAAAGCGGACGAUCUUAAUAUGACCAGACGGUUAAAAACGGUCGAACAGGUUGAUGUUGCAAUAUCAUCUGAUGAGUCGUGUUAAGCGGUGAAAGACAAAUCUGGUUCGCAGAUAGCUGGUUUUCCACGAAAUAUAUGUUAGUAUAGUCUCUAUUAAAUAAUUAAUAUUAUUAUUAUAUUUUUUAUAUAAUAAUAAAGAAUGGUACAGCUAUAAAUAUUAUUAUUUGGGGAAUAAUUGCUAUUUUAUCAAAGAUAUUUAAUCUCGAAAUGUUUAUUAAUAUUAAUAGAGAAUCAGACUGUGCGCGAUAAGGUGAACAGUCUAAAGGGAAACAGCCCAGAAUAAGAUAUAAAGUUCUUAAUUAGAUAAUAAGUGAAAUAAAUAUUUAAAUAUUAUAAUACAAUCAGUUAAUGGGUUUGACAAUAACCAUUUUUUAAUGAACAUGUAACAAUGCACUGAUCUAUUUUUUUUAUAAAUAAUAUUUAAAACCAUAAUUAUUUUUAAUAAUUAUGUAAAUAAAUAAUAUAACGGAUCUUUUUUAAUUAUAAUUAUCUAACUGAAUAUCUAUAUAAUAUUAUAUAUAAAUAAAUGUAAUAUUAUGGUAGUGGAACAUUUAAUGAAUAAUAAGUAUAUUAAUAUUUACGGAUUAAUAUAUGAUAUAUAAAUUAAAUAGAGAAUGCUGACAUGAGUAACGAAAAAAAGGUUUAAUCCUUUUCACCUAAAGCAUAAGGUUUAACAAUAAAAGUACGGCCCUUAAGUAAAAUAUGAAUAAAAUUAUAUUGUACGAUAGGUAAAAUCUAAAUAUAUAUAUUAUAUCUAUAUUAUAUAUAUUAUAUUAUAAUAUAUAUAAACUAAUAUAGAUCAAGAAAUAGAUAUAUAUACAAAUACCGUAAUGUAUACCGACUCUGGUAUGUUAGUAGAGAAUAUGAAGGUGAAUUAGAUAAUUAAAGAGAAGGAACUCGGCAAAAAUAGCUCUAACGUUAGUCAAAAAAGAGUAAAAAAAACAAGGUUGUCCAACUGUUUACUAAAAACACCGCACUUUGCAAAAACGUUAAGUUAUAGUAUAAGGUGUGAACUCUGCUCCAUGCUUAAUUAAUAAAUAUGAAUAAUUAUUAUGAUUAUUAUAUUAAAUUUAAGUAAAUAGCAGCCUUAUUAUGAGGGUUCUAAGGUAGCGAAAUUCCUAGGCCAAUAAUUGUGGUCCUGCAUGAAUGACGUAAUGAUACAACAACUGUCUCCUCUUUAAGCUAAGUGAAAUUG
rfam:Kluyveromyces marxianus DMKT3-1042 mitochondrial DNA, complete genome.